GCAAUGCCGCGUGCAGGAUGAAGGCCUUCGGGUUGUAAACUGCUUUUGUACGGAACGAAACGGUGAGCUCUAAUACAGCUUGCUAAUGACGGUACCGUAAGAAUAAGCACCGGCUAACUACGUGCCAGCAGCCGCGGUAAUACGUAGGGUGCGAGCGUUAAUCGGAAUUACUGGGCGUAAAGCGUGCGCAGGCGGUGAUGUAAGACAGAUGUGAAAUCCCCGGGCUCAACCUGGGACCUGCAUUUGUGACUGCAUCGCUNGAGUACGGUAGAGGGGGAUGGAAUUCCGCGUGUAGCAGUGAAAUGCGUAGAUAUGCGGAGGAACACCGAUGGCGAAGGCAAUCCCCUGGACCUGUACUGACGCUCAUGCACGAAAGCGUGGGGAGCAAACAGGAUUAGAUACCCUGGUAGUCCACGCCCUAAACGAUGUCAACUGGUUGUUGGGUCUUCACUGACUCACUAACGAAGC
rnacentral:rRNA from 1 species